rnacentral:rRNA from 1 species
UACAGAGGGUGCAAGCGUUGUUCGGAAUUAUUGGGCGUAAAGGGCUCGUAGGCGGUCUGUCACGUCGGGAGUGAAAACACGGGGCUUAACCCCGUGCCUGCUUCCGAUACGGGCAGACUAGAGGUAUGCAGGGGAGAACGGAAUUCCUGGUGUAGCGGUGAAAUGCGCAGAUAUCAGGAGGAACACCGGUGGCGAAGGCGGUUCUCUGGGCAUUACCUGACGCUGAGGAGCGAAAGUGUGGGGAGCGAACAGG